AUACUUACCUGACGCGAGAGGCACCUUGAUCAACUAGGAGGUCCUCUCAGGAUGAGGCCCUUUCAUUGCACUUCGACUGGGUUGACUCUGCGAUUACCCCUAAUGUGGGUAACUCGAGCGUAUAAUUUCUGGUAGUGGGGACCUGCGUUCGCGCUCGUCCCCU
rnacentral:snRNA from 1 species